UACGUAGGGUGCAAGCGUUAAUCGGAAUUACUGGGCGUAAAGCGUGCGCAGGCGGUUGUGUAAGACAGAUGUGAAAUCCCCGGGCUCAACCUGGGAACUGCAUUUGUGACUGCACAGCUGGAGUGCGGCAGAGGGGGAUGGAAUUCCGCGUGUAGCAGUGAAAUGCGUAGAGAUGCGGAGGAACACCGAUGGCGAAGGCAGCCCCCUGGGCUAAGACUGACGCUGAGGCACGAAAGCGUGGGGAGCAAACAGG
rnacentral:rRNA from 1 species